GUGCUUGCUUCCGCAGCACAGGUACUAAAAUUGGAACAAAACAGAGAAGAUUAGCAUGGCCCCUGCACAGGAAUGACAUGCAAAUUCGCGAAGCUUCCAUAUUUUUA